UACGUAGGCAGCGAGCGUUGUUCGGAAUUACUGGGCGUAAAGCGCGUGUAGGCGGUUGUUCAAGUCAGGUGUGAAAGCCUUGAGCUCAACUCAAGAAAUGCACUUGAUACUGGAUGACUAGAGGACCGGAGAGGAUAGUGGAAUUCCCAGUGUAGUGGUGAAAUACGUAGAGAUUGGGAAGAACACCAGUGGCGAAGCGGCUAUCUGGACGGUUUCUGACGCUAAGACGCGAAAGCGUGGGGAGCAAACAGG
rnacentral:rRNA from 1 species